ensembl:lncRNA
GAAGGUAUCUCAAGGUUUCACCCGACAUGCUUCUUUCUGUGAGAACUGCCUCUGUCUCACGGGCUGGGGUGGCAUCCGAACAAUUUCCAAAGGGCGAGUGGAGUUGAUUUUUCACCCUGUACUUUAUUGGGAAGUUUUGGUUGACUUGGGGAGCUGGUGUGAACAGGAACCAGAGGCACUCCGGAGGUUGCCUGGAUUGGGGAGGGGUGGGUGAGUGCACUUGCGCGCGCGUGCGUUUGUGUGUGUGUGUGUGUGUGUGUGCGGUGUAGGGAGGCGGGGGGCGGGGGUGAGGGCCUGGGGCGGGGGCGGGGCGCGGCUCCGUGUUAAGCAGCACCGUGGCGGUUCCACGCUGAGUGCAGCGUGCUCGGCUCUCUCGUUGCAGGGUGUCAGGCAGAGUGGAAGGAGAGGAGGAGAAGGGAAGUCGGGGACGUCGGUCAUGUCUAGGCGCUGGUGUUCUGGGGUGUCAGGCAGAGUGGAAGGAGAGGAGGAGAAGGGAAGUCGGGGACGUCGGUCAUGUCUAGGCGCUGGUGUUCUGGGGUGUCAGGCAGAGUGGAAGGAGAGGAGGAGAAGGGAAGUCGGGGACGUCGGUCAUGUCUAGGCGCUGGUGUUCUGGGGUGUCAGGCAGAGUGGAAGGAGAGGAGGAGAAGGGAAGUCGGGGACGUCGGUCAUGUCUAGGCGCUGGUGUUCUGGGUGAGUGAGUGCCCUUUGUUCUCUUCCUUCUCCUCUUCCAAAAGGGUUCAUUUCAUCACAGGAAAAGGUCAGUGGUUCUGGUGGUUCAGCAAGCCUCAAGAAGGGGAGACUCCCAAGGUAGGUCCGUGGCACGGGGCCACCGGCGUACCGUGCCGGAGUUUUCCGGCUUGAUAGCAGAGGCUCUCGGGCCAGGUCCCGCU